rnacentral:lncRNA from 1 species
UUCUCUAGAAAGUCAUUGUUAAAAAUGUUUAAUGUUACUUAGAAAAUCAUGAAUCUAACUUAUCAAUAUUAGUUUUUAUUGUAUCAAGUAAAAUGUUUAUUUUUUUUUUGUUGUUCUUGAGAUUUAAUAUUUAACGAUUCUAUUGAUUUCGUUUAUUUGUUGUUAUUGUUGGUGUUUUUUUUUGUUUUUUUGUUGAGAUUUAAUGUUUAACGAUUCUACUGAUUUGAUAUUGUUGUUUUGUUAUUUUUGUUGUUGUUUUUGUUGUUGUUGUUAUUGUUGAGAUCUAAUGUUUAAUGAUUCUAUUGUUU